UACGUAGGGGGCCAGCGUUGUCCGGAAUCAUUGGGCGUAAAGCGCGCGUAGGCGGCCAGAUAAGUCCGGUGGGAAAGUCAAAGGCUCAACCUUUGAAUGCCGCUGGAAACUGCCUGGCUUGAGUCCGGAAGGGGCGAGUGGAAUUCCUGGUGUAGCGGUGAAAUGCGCAGAUAUCAGGAGGAACACCAAUGGCGAAGGCAGCUCGCUGGAACGGUACUGACGCUGAGGAGCGAAAGCCAGGGGAGCAAACGGG
rnacentral:rRNA from 1 species